rnacentral:tRNA from 1 species
GGCUUAAUAGGAUAAAUAUAAUUCUGAUGGCCUUCAAAGCCAUAGGUAGAGUAAGUUCUCUUUAGCUU